rnacentral:rRNA from 1 species
AAUAACAAAACUAUAAAAAAGAUUAUAUCAUGAAUACGUAUUAUAAUAAAUAAUAUAUCAUAAUUGUAAUAAAAAUUUUAGCCUUCUUCGAUCCUUUCGUACUAAAAGAAGCAUUAAUAGUUUUAAAAGAUAGAAACCAACCUGGCUCACGCCGGUCUGAACUCAGAUCAUGUAAAGUUUUAAAAAUCGAACAGAUUUACCUUAUAAAGCUUCUACACCUUAAGGUUACUUUAAUCCAACAUCGAGGUCGCAAUCUUACUUUUCAAUAAGAGCUCUCUAAGUAAAUUACGCUGUUAUCCCUAUGGUAACUAUAUUAUAAGCAAUAUCUAAUACAAUAUAUUAAUUAAUCGGUUACUUAAUCUAACAAUACACACAUCUAAGGAAGUUACUUUCCAAUCAGUUAUUCCUUAAUCACCCCAAUUAAAAUUUAUAUAAUACAAUUAUAAAUAUUAAUAAAAGCACUAACAAAAAUUAUAAGCUCAAUAGGGUCUUCUCGUCCCAUUAAAAAAUUCAAGCUUUUUCACUAUGAAAAUUAAUUUCUAAAAAAUAAAGUUGAGACAGAUUAACCUUCGUCAAACCAUUCAUUCUAGCCUCAAAUUAUAAGGCAAAUUAUUAUGCUACCUUAGUACAGUUAAAAUACCGCAGCUGUUAAAAACUUCACCGAGCAGGCCCAACUCUUUAUAUACAUAUAAAUAACAAAGAGAGAUGUUUUUGAUAAACAGGCGAGAUUAAUAUUUGCCGAAUUCCUUAACUUUACUUUAUUUUAUACAUCUAAAUAUUUAAUUAUCUCAUCUUACAAUAAAAAUAGAUUUAAAUAAUUUAUAAACCAAUACUCAUAUUAACAUUAUAUUUAAUCAACCAAAAUUAAUGAUCAUUUAUUAACUACAUGCACCUGAACUACUAAUUAUUACUAAUCAUCAAUUAAAUCAUUAAGAAAAACAAAACUUUAACCCUACUUAAAUAAUUAAUCAAAAUUUUAAAUAUUCUACACUUUUAUAUGAAGCUUAUCCCUCAUACAAUAAACUAAUAUCUAAACAUAAUUUAUUAUACAAAUAUUAUAAUACUUAAAUAUUCUUCACCAAUAAACUAGCUAUCCUAGAAAUCGAUAAACAUUUCAUUACCAUUUAAUAAUAAACAUAUAACUAUACCACGUUAACAUAAUAUUACUAAAUAAAUCCUCCUAAUUCGAGAUAAUUUUAUAAUAAAUUACAAUAUCAUCAACCCAUUAUACAAAAGGUACAAAAAUUUACUUCUACUAAAACCUAAAUACAAUUUAUUCCUUUACAGUACAAUAACAAAAAAAUUUAUCUAUACUACUAAUACCCAAAUAAAAAACAAUUUUAAUAACCUUAAUAAACACAUAUACACAUUAACAUACCUUUA